rnacentral:lncRNA from 1 species
AUUCCUUCUCGUUGAUCAACGAGCCACGCCCGACGUUGAUUAUCACUCCUUCCUUCCCUAACGCUACCAUGACAUCCUUAUUGACCAAGUGGUAAGUUUCCUUUGUCAGUGCACAACAAAGAACAAGAACAUCACUGUUUGCAGCAAGGUCCCGGACAUUAGCAUAGAAUGGAAAUGGAACAGAUUGCUUCUUGUUUCUUGAGGUGUAGGCAAUGGUGCAGCCAAAGGCUGAGAGCCUCUUUGCAACUUCAGAACCAAUGCUUCCCAAUCCCACAAUCCCUACACGCUUUCCCCCUAGCUGUGAUUGCAUAUUUUGGUGUUAAAUGCUAGUCAUAGGUAGUUAUGAAGAAUAAGUCAUUUCAAUCAACAAAUUCCUAAAAUUUCAUAAACUAUAAGCCUAAUGUGCUAUAGCAAUGUCACAUCAUGUUGCAUUCUGCUCUGAGUUGUCCUUUAUUUGCAGAAACCAUUAUGAAAGUGAAGAUCUAUACUAUAAACCUAAAAAAGAAAGAUAGCCCAUUUAUGAUCAAGAAACAGACUUUUAUUUAGAUUUCUUUUCAUGAACCUUGGAAUAUCUAAAGGCUUAAAUUUCCACAAGACCAAAAUAUCCUAAACAAAUACCUUAAUUUUCACAACUGGAUUCCUUCACUUAUAUGUUAAAUUCAGUUACUCUAAGGUUUUUACCUUAAAACCAAGAGGGUAGGUUUCCUUAACAGGCCACAUCCGACCACGAACAAAUCUAUCAGCAGCAGAGAUUCUUCUAAGGACAUCGAUCAACAACCCAACAGCACAAUCCGCUACAUCCUCUGCGAAGGCAGAGCUAGCGUUAGUAACAACGAUGCCUCGGCUUCGACAAGCGGGGAGGUCUAUAUGAUCAAGGCCAGCACUUGUAGCCACUAUCAGCUCCAAAACGGGCAGACGGUCCAGAAACUCGGCGGAAACUAGGGUGGGGCCCAUAGUCAUGAGAGCUCUUAUGGAGGGAGCAUGACGGGCCAGAAAGGAGUCGUACGGCUCAGGCGACUCGUAAGGGUCCAGGACAUGGAAUUGAGAACGUAAAUGGUCUCCAAAAGGAAGGAUGAAUGAGGGUGGACGAUGAAGGAAGACUACAGGUAGCUCUUCGGGUUGUUGGGUUUCUUUGUCGGCCAUGGUUAGGUAGGAGAGGAUUAAGUGAUGACUCCCAAGUUUCAAAAGAAAAAAAACAGUAUAGUUUUGUUUGGUAUUAUGUGGUCAAUAUCAUCGCAUUCAUUUAUUGAAUUUUAGGUAGGGAUAAAAUUAUAUAAAAUUCUGACUCCAUUUUAUUCCUAUUGAUAAAUUAUAUUUUUCUUUCUUAAUUUUUAGUAUUUUUUUUAAAUAUUUUUAAUUAAAUUUAAAUUUUUAGGGAAAAAAUUAAAAAUUAGAAAGAAAAAUCGAAUUUUUCGCAUUUCUAUUGAAAAUGAAUAGGAAUGGCAUAGAAUUACAAUCUCAUGCAAUCUUUUCUAAUUAAGGUGAAUAGUUGAUGCAAAGUUAGUUUUCUUUUGAAUCAAAAUAAUAAUUUAAAAAAUAUUUUGAAUAUUUUUUAAACAUAAUUAUUUGUUAUUAUGCAAUAUAAUUGUGUUAGACAGAAUAGUAACUAAUAAUAAUAAUAUAAAGGCAUUCGUCAAGAUGAUUCAAGUGCCUUCAAAGAGGUUAGCAGCGGUUCUACUAUUGACUUAGUAAGUAAUACUCUCGAAGGGUGUGUGUUUUUAAAAUUUAUGUAAUUUCAGUUAAAUCUCUUCUGCCGUUUUGCUAUUGACUUAAUAAGCAUUACUCUCAAAGGGUGUGUAUUAGAAUUUUAUAUAAUUUUAUUCCGUUUUAGUUAAAUUUACCUAUAAUUUUAAAAUUUAUCAUUUUCCUUUUUUUUUUUUAUGUAUACUAUUAUAGUAGUUUUUUAAUUCAUGCUUAUUUGAUCAAAAUUCAUGGAUAUUUGACUAAAACAAUUUCUUAAUGAACUUACAAAACAUGAAGGAUUAAUCAUUGCACUCGCUUAAGUAGAUAUAUUGAAAAAAAGGUUUUGAAAUUUUCUAAUGCUUCGAUGAUUCUGCAGACAAUUUAACAAAGAUACCAACAUCUUAGUUUCGAGUAACAACAAAGAUACCAACAUCCUGAUUUCCAGUAACCAAGGUAUGGAUUUCAGUUAUUUAACCAAAUCUUUAUCCUUUCUUCAUUGAGCAUUUGUCAAUGCUUUACAUUAAAGCAAAAGAAUGAAUGGUUCAUUCAUUUGAGACUACUGAUACCAAAGGUUUAUUGGAAAAGAAGGCCUUUAAGUUGACAACAAUCAGCUGGUCCAAAGCUUCAAAGGAUUCUGGAGUCAUGACAGCGCAGUGUGGAGACAACACGACAUUAUCAAGUCCAAAUAGCUCCUUAGGGACAUUAGGCUCGUUUUCAUACACAUCAAGACCAGCACCACCCAUUUCUCCCCCCACCAAACACUGCACUAAUUCCUUCUCGUUGAUCAACGAGCCACGCCCGACGUUGAUUAUCACUCCAUCCUUCCCUAAUGCUACCAUGACAUCCUUAUUGAUCAUGUGGUAAGUUUCCUUCGUCAGUGCACAACAAAGAACGAGAACAUCACUAUUUGCAGCAAGGUCCCGGACAUUAGCAUAGAAUGGAAAUGAAACAGAUUGCUUCUUGUUUCUUGAGGUGUAGGCAAUGGUGCAGCCAAAGGCU